rnacentral:tRNA from 1 species
GGAGACGUGGCCGAGUGGCUGAAGGCGCUCCCCUGCUAAGGGAGUAGGCGGGUUGAACCGUCUCGAGGGUUCGAAUCCCUUCGUCUCCGCCA